GAUGAACGCUGGCGGCGUGCCUAAUACAUGCAAGUCGAGCGAACAGACGAGGAGCUUGCUCCUCUGACGUUAGCGGCGGACGGGUGAGUAACACGUGGAUAACCUACCUAUAAGACUGGGAUAACUUCGGGAAACCGGAGCUGAUACCGGAUAAUAUAUUGAACCGCAUGGUUCAAUAGUGAAAGACGGUUUUGCUGUCACUUAUAGAUGGAUCCGCGCCGCAUUAGCUAGUUGGUAAGGUAACGGCUUACCAAGGCAACGAUGCGUAGCCGACCUGAGAGGGUGAUCGGACACACUGGAACUGAGACACGGUCCAGACUCCUACGGGAGGCAGCAGUAGGGAAUCUUCCGCAAUGGGCGAAAGCCUGACGGAGCAACGCCGCGUGAGUGAUGAAGGUCUUCGGAUCGUAAAACUCUGUUAUUAGGGAAGAACAAAUGUGUAAGUAACUAUGCACGUCUUGACGGUACCUAAUCAGAAAGCCACGGCUAACUACGUG
rnacentral:rRNA from 1 species